AGAAACCGAGAAGCAGCUCUCUACACAACUUCAGAUGCUGAAUGCUCGACAGGCUAAAACAUAGGCAUUUCUAGCAGAUUUAGCUAGUAAUCCAGCUUUUCAAUCGUUCUUCAUUGGUGAAUCUUCCUGGUAAGACUUUUUAUUUAUAUAAUAUAUGCUACUUAUAAAAUGUGUAGAUAAUGUGUUCCACAUGGAACUUAUAUAUUUUCUCUCAAGUAUUAUAAUUCAGAAUUUAUCUUCUCUCAAGUCUAUAUUUAUUUUUUAUUCUUCUUCUAAAUAAUAUUGAAAUACUCAAAACACAUGCAUGUUGGAAAUAAUCAAUGUGCAUUUUCAAAUUGCAGAUAAAAGAACUAUGGGUGGUAUAUAUUUAGCUUGCGGAUCGAAUGGUUUCGGAUGACUAGCUAUGAGAUUGAAGACCUUUGAAGAUCACAAGAUUAUUAUCUUUUUUUUUGUUUUUAGUGAAAAUGUGGAUAUUAUUAGUUUAUGUGGAUACGGAUUUUGAUUAGUAAUUCUUAGAAGUUGUUGGUC
rnacentral:lncRNA from 1 species